UCGGCUCCACCCUCACUCUCUUCCUCCUAAAACCCUAAACCCAAAUCCCACUUUCCCCACCCCCUCCACUGCAGCCCCACGGCCAUGGCGUCCCCUGCCGUCCUUCGAGAACGUUCAAGAACGCUCCCGAAGCUCCUCUCCCACCUCGCCCUCCUCCGAUUCAUGGGAGGCGGCCCGCGUACGUUUCCCGGCGGCCUCAACAAGUGGCAGUACAAGCGGAUGCACGAGAAGAUGGCGAGGGAGAAGGAGCGCCGCCUCCUCCAGCAGGAGAAGCAGCUCUACCACGCUCGCCUCCGAACCGAGAUCCGCGCCAAGAGCGCUGGGAGAUCCUCCGGCGACUCCGCCGAUCCCGCCUCCAACUCCGGUGGCGCCAUGACCUCCAAAGAGCACAUCAAGGCCCUUGCUGAUCGGUUUAUGAAGGCCGGGGCAGUGGACCUCUGGAACGAGGAUGACGGCCCCAUCCUCUCUGCACCUCGUCGGUCCCAUGCUUCGGGCUCCGUGCCGCCGCUUGAUUUGAGGAAGCUUGUGGCGGAGCGACGGAACGUGGUUGAAAGUAGGGCCGGCCGGACAAGUUCGAGCUUGGGUUCUUUUAGUAAGAGGGAGUACUCGACGAUGCCAUGGAGACGAAAUGGGAUGAGGUCGAAGAUGAGGUGGAGGAAUUCAUCGAGCGAUGAAGAUUCCGAGUCAGAUACAAGGGUUGUUUCAAAUGGAAAUUCGAUGACGGAGCAUCGCAAUGCAGACAGGGGUACUCCAAAGAAUUCGCGACUGUUUCCUAAGUUUAGCAUCAAAAGUGACGGGGAGUCAGAGGAAGACUCAGGUUUGAUGAGCAGGGCGAGUGCAGGAAAGAAGAUAUUUAGCAAAGCUGCUCUGAGGAACUAUGAUAUGAAAAACCAGAGGAGGGUGCCUAGGAGCAUUGAGGAGUGCAGUGAUCCCUCUAAUGAGUUGCAGGAAAUUCGUGAUGAGUUGUGGAAGAAGCAGGCUUAUGCAUAUGAUACAACACGACGUGAUGCAGAGGAAGAAUCACUUCUGACAAAAAAGCGAUUUGAUGAGUGUGGCGUCUCUCCUCUGACAAUUAAGGCACUCACUGAUGCUGGAUACAUACGAAUGACCGUUGUGCAAGAGGCGACACUUCCUGUCUGUCUUGAUGGUAAGGAUGCUCUAGUGAAAGCAAAAACAGGCACAGGCAAAAGUGCUGCUUUUCUGCUUCCUGCAAUUGAAACAGUCAUCAAGGCAACACAAAGCAGCAUAAACCGGCGGCUACCUCAAAUUCAUGUUCUUAUUAUUUGUCCCACAAGGGAGCUUGCCAUUCAAGUUGCAGCUGAGGCAAAUGUUCUGUUAAAACACCAUGUUGGAAUUGGUGUUCAAACAUUUACUGGAGGGACAAGGUUCAAGAUGGAUCAGAAACGUCUCGAAUCAAAUCCUUGCCAGAUUAUAGUGGCAACACCUGGCAGAUUAUUGGAUCACAUAGAAAACAAGUCUGGGUUUUCUGUACGUUUGAUGGGUUUGAAGAUGCUUAUACUUGAUGAAGCGGACCACUUGUUAGACUUAGGAUAUAGAAAGGACAUAGAGAAGAUUGUUGAUUCUGUGCCACGCCAGAGGCAGUCCUUAUUGUUUUCUGCUACAUUUCCUAGAGAGGUAUGCCGAAUAUCACAGCUUGUCUUGAAACGAGAUCAUAUCUUUGUCGAUACAGUUGGCUUGGGAUGCGUGGAAACUCAUGCAAAGGUUCUGCAGGCAUAUCUUAUUGCACCUCAUCAACUGCAUUAUCACUUGGUGUAUAAUCUUCUGAAGGAACACAUGCAACAAGAGUUAGACUAUAAGGUAAUUGUAUUUUGUACAACUGCUAUGGGAGCGGCUUUUAUGUACGUGCUUCUCCGAGACUUGAAAAUGAAUGUCAGGGAAAUGCAUUCUAGGAAGCCACAACUUUAUCGAACUCGUAUAUCUGAUGAGUUCCGUGAAUCAAAGUGCAUAAUUCUUGUAACCUCUGAUGUUUCUUCUCGUGGGAUGAAUUAUCCUGAUGUCACUCUAGUCAUUCAGGUUGGCAUUCCUCCUGAUCGUGAACAAUACAUACAUCGACUUGGAAGGACAGGACGUCAAGGCAAAGAUGGAAAGGGCAUUCUAUUGCUUGCACCAUGGGAAGAAUAUUUCAUGGAUCAGAUAAAAGAUCUUCCCAUCAAGAAGUAUCAACUUCUGGAUCUUGAUUCAGACACAAAACAGAAGGUUGAGGAUUCCAUUGGAAGAGUUGACCCAAGCAUCAAGGAAGCAGCAUAUCAUGCCUGGCUUGGAUAUUAUAACUCUAUUAGGGAAGUAGGAAGAGAUAAAACCACGCUGGCUGACCUGGCAAACCAGUUUUGUCAUUCCAUUGGUUUAGAGAAGCCUCCAGCGCUCUUCAGGAGAACAGCUUUGAAGAUGGGAUUGAAGGGCAUUCCUGGCAUUCGAGUUCAUAAGUAAAGCCAACAAUUGUUCUGAUCCAUUUCCAUACUGCAAAUCCGUAAGUAUCAAUGCUGAUCCGACUUGCUAACUGUGUUGGGUGAUUACAGAGUGGUUUAGAUUGGUAUCAGAAAGAGAGAAGAAAUGACAACAUAAGCUAGUGAUGGAUGAUGGCUCGUAUUAGAUUCAAAAUAGCAUGGCUUGUUCUGAGAGGCAUUGACUUGUCCUAUAGCAUGGAGUGGGUGGAACAUUCUGAAGCCAUUUCCUUUCUAAAUGACACAUGGCUUCAAUCUUCAAAUCAUUCCCAUCUUCUUAAUAGGAACGAGAAAUGUCUUUUUAGCGAUCUCAUGGACUCCGUUACUUGAUAACUCAUAACCUUUCGACUAUACUAAUGUAUGGUACGAACAAGAUUCUUCAUCCAUCAUGUACUGUAUUCAUGAAUCUGUGAGACUCCAUGAACGCUAUUAGGAGUGUCCGUACGAGCGAUCAUUGAAUGAAGGUAUGAAGUUGACAUCA